CCUACGGGUCGCAGCAGUAGGGAAUCUUCGGCAAUGGACGAAAGUCUGACCGAGCAACGCCGCGUGAGUGAAGAAGGUUUUCGGAUCGUAAAACUCUGUUGUUAGAGAAGAACAAGUAGGAGAGUAACUGCUCUUACCUUGACGGUAUCUAACCAGAAAGCCACGGCUAACUACGUGCCAGCAGCCGCGGUAAUACGUAGGUGGCAAGCGUUGUCCGGAUUUAUUGGGCGUAAAGCGAGCGCAGGCGGUCUUUUAAGUCUGAUGUGAAAGCCCACGGCUCAACCGUGGAGGGUCAUUGGAAACUGGGGGACUUGAGUGCAGAAGAGGAGAGCGGAAUUCCACGUGUAGCGGUGAAAUGCGUAGAGAUGUGGAGGAACACCAGUGGCGAAGGCGGCUCUCUGGUCUGUAACUGACGCUGAGGCGCGAAAGCGUGGGGAGCAAACAGGAUUAGAUACCCGGGUAGUC
rnacentral:rRNA from 1 species